UUUCUGUUAACAUAUAUGACUUCCUGUCAACAUAUAUGACUUAUUGUGAAUAUAUAUAUAUUCAUAGAAAGUCAUAUGUAUUCACAAGAAAUCAUAUAUAUUCACAGAAAGUCAUAUAUAUUCACAGAAAGUCACAGAAAAUCAUAUAUAUUCACAGGAAGUCACAUAUAUUCACAGGAAGUCACAUGAAGUCAUAUAUUCGC
rnacentral:lncRNA from 1 species